AGAAAUUAGAAGAAAUAAAAAAGGAAACAAAACAAGUUGUGAAAAGCAAAAACUCCAUUUGCAUCCUCUACGGCCUCACGCCACUUCCACAAAACACCAUUAAAAUUUCUUACUCCUCAAUCCAAUCUCAAAGUUUCAGCUGCUUGGAGGUUUUGAGUUCAUCUUCUCCAAAUCAAGUUUUAUUUGGUACUAAAUGUUUGUUGGGUAAUAGAAAUCAAGUAGAGUUAGGUAUUAACUUUAUUCUUCUUCAAUUUGGGUUAUUUAUAUUAUCUAUUUGGGUAAUUCAAAUUUAAGCAUUAAAUUGAAUUUAAGUUGAGCCUAUGGGUUCAAUUAAAAAUUGAGUUCUUGGUAGUGUUUAUUAUUAUUGGUUAUGUGGGUCAUUUGAUUUCUAGUAUCAAAUUGAGUAUUUUGGAGUUUUGAAAUUUCAGUUCAAAAUCUGAACAUUCUAUUUUGUAAUUUUCGGAACUGUGCUGAUUGUUUCUGGGUCUUGGUAUCUGCAUAUGACUUGUAGAGCUUCGAGUCGCGUGGCCACUUGAAUCACCUCAAAACGAGUUCGUUUGAAAGCGUUAUGCCUAAAAUACUAACAAGGUGAGCUUAAAAUCGAGUUGGAAGUUAAGACAAUGGAUAACUAUUGUUCAAGUUUGGAUUUCAAUUGGAUAAUCUUUUAAUCAAAUCAUUGGGGUUAUUUAUUAGUAUUUAUAUUUCUUCAAGUGAAUUGGAGUUCAAUCGAUAAUUGGGUUAGUAUCAAGUUAAAUUCGAAUUGGGGAAAUUAUGUUAUCAAAUUUCAGUUUAGAAACUGAUAUUUCUGUCUUGCGAAUUUCAGUACAUUUAUUUUCAUUUUGGAUUUUUGUGUCAUCACAUAAUUUGUGGAGCUCCAAGUCGCAGUCGUAUAGCCACUUGAUCGUCCCAUUUUGAUUCCGUACGAGUAAGUGAUGCUUGUUUUAGUAAUGAGGUGUCCUGAAACCAUUACGAAAUUUAUAAAUGGGGAUCAAAAGCUUUGGAAUUAAUUGGUUAAUCUUAUAAUCUUGUUUUCUAGCUCGUCUAAGCUUUUUAUUGGGUUUAUUGGAUGCAUUAAAGUGGAGGUUCGACUUUAUUUUGGUCUGGAGUAAACCAAAUUUAUGAGGAACUCAUCCAUGGUCAUUUUCAAGUACAUACAUGUGGUUUCUUUUUCAAAGCUUUUCUUGGAAUUGCUAUUUUGGGUAAAACUCUAACCAAUAAUUCUCUUUAAAGUAUUUAAAAGGUGUGGAAUAACUUGAUAUAAAAUCCAAAUUGGACCUUUGAUCAAGUUAAGUCAUAAUGUUGUGAUUUUGAUUGCAAUAAAAUUAUUUAAGCAAAAUUAUAUCAAGUAUUUGAUUAAGUUUCAUUGUAAGUCUAAGUUUAGAUUAAGUUUUAUGUUGGUUUGAUUGUGUGUGAAUAUUGAUUCGAAUUUGGGAUGUUGAGUUUAUCCAAAUGUGCCAAAAUCGCAACCCACGACAAGGUAGUUUUCAGUUUUCAGUCAAUUCAUGUUUUGGCCAUAUCUUCUUUGUUCGAGUUCAGAAUGAGGAAUAUGACCAGUGUUUACGACAACACAGAUGUCUAGAUUAAUAUUCAAUUGGCAUUUCUUCAAAAUGUUUUGUACAAUCUUAUUCAUGUGUCCAUAGAUUCCGAAAGGUACAAAAAUGACUUUGCUAAAAAUUGUUUAAACUUAUCAAACAAGUUGUUAUAGUUGUAAGGGUAGUGUAAACCUUAGUAUUAAGUUGGAAUUGACUUAUGGACCUAUAUAUAAAUUGUUAUAAUUUUGUUUAUAAUGUAUGUGCUAUUGUAAUGUUGCAUUUAUCUGAAAACAGUAACAUGAUUAUAAAAAGGCUUGAUAGUAAGGAAAUGCUGAACCAUGCUUCCGGCAUGUAAAAAAUGUGGGACGUGUUUUCCAGCACGUAAAAUACGACGAACAUAGUAAGGUUAUUUAACCUGACAUGUGGCUCGAGCAACAUUGCACUGGAGGAGUGACGACUCCUACUAAGCUGGGGUUUUGGUAUACCUCAUCCUUACAGGCCCUUACAUACAUCAAGCAAAGAUCAUUUGUGUUGCAUUCAUUUAAUAAAUAUUUGGAUUCCACACCCUAGUACUCAAGCAAAACUGUUUGUAAAUUACGCCCUAGUAAUCAAGCAGAAGGACCAAAAGUUAAAUAUAUAAAUUUAACAUAAAAAUGAAUCUCUUAUAUUACAUAAAACACCUUGCAUAUUAUUUUUUUUAAUGCACUUAUUUUUGCAUAUUACUCAUUGAAAUGCACAUAUUUCUAUACUUGUAAAAUUGUUGGCAUGUUUCUAUACUCUACUUAGUAGCUGAAUCGAUUCCCACUAUCUGCUCUAAUUUAUGUGAAGUCCUAAGUGCAAUCUGGAGUCCCUUUUGGGUGCUAUAAAGGUUUCAUUGUUUGGUGUACUAGUCAGCCGUGGUUGCUGAUACUACACAAUUUUUGUUGUCACUCUAAAUAAUUUUCCCUUGAGGGAUAGUGCAUUUAUGAGUGUUGCAGGUAUUAGUUUAUUGAAGUAUUUAUUUAUAAAAAUCUAAUUGGUUUGCUUAGACCUUUGGUCUGAGGUUUAAAUAACCCAAGUAAUUAGUCAAAAGUCUUUCGUUGUGUCACAUUAAGUAUUUUAUUAAAGGUAAUUAGGAUUCGGGCUGUUACAUUCUAUAUUGGAGAGAUCUAAAGGUUAGGCAUUGUCUUGAGGUUAUGCAUAUAGAGAAAAAUGUAUGCAAUGCCAUAGUCGGGACGCUCAUGAACAUUUCGGGUAAGACAAAGGAUGUUAAGGCCGUGCGAGAUUACUUUGAAUCUAAAGGUCUUCGUCUGGAGUUGUGGCCACAAGUUAUAGUGGGUAAGAAAAGAAAAAGAGCUGAAGAAGUACGUGGUAGUGACAAGGGAAAGAGCAAUAAGAAGAAGAUGAGUAAUGUUAAAAAUUAUUUGCUCCAACUUGCUAAACAUUGUCCAAGGAAUAUAAGCAGGCAUUUUGUGAGUCUCUGUAUGGCAUUAAGAUUCCUUGGGUACUCAUCCAACAUGAAAAUAUUUGUGACCGUAAAUAGUGAGUUGAAGUUAGGAAGCAUGAAAUCUCAUGAUUUCCAUGUAAUGAUGCAAGUGUUCUUACCAAUUGCAAUACGUGAAUACUUCCAAAACAUGUGAGAUAUGCUUGAUCCCUUUAAAUUUGAUGCUCUUCAAGUCGACGCGAUUGUAACUUUAUGCAAGUUUGAGAUGUAUUUUCCACCUUUUUUUUUAACAUAAUGGUUCAACUUUUUUUCCAUAUUGUUCGUGAAAUUAAGCUUUUAGGUCCAGUUUUUUUAAGGUGGUGUUAUCCUUUUGAAAGACAUAUGGGAGUUUUACAAAAUAACUUGAGGAAUCCAGCACAACCCGAGGGGAUAAUUCAAGGCACUGUAAGCGAUGAGAUUGGUAACUUUAUAGCUCAGUAUAUGGCCAUGGCAAAGCCUAUUGAACUUCCUACCUCUCGAUAUGAAGGAAGACUUGAGGAAAAAGUAACAAUUGGCUCCAAAUCAAUCACACCUCCCCGAGACAGUCUUCUACAAGCACACUUGUAUGUGUUGCAUCAUAUUUCAUAAGUCCAUCCUUUUUUGAAUGAGCGUUUUGAUAUAUUGCGUGGCAAAUAUCCUUCUAAAGAGGAUCGGGUAUUGAUGUAGUUGCAUAAUAAGAUGUUUAUUAAUUGGUUUCAUAAUCGAGUAUAUGUGAAGAAUUCAAGGGUGUAUCUUAAGUGUUAAGUGGUUAACUUUUAGUCCUCGCUAAAAUGUUAAUAAAAUAUGAGGGUUAUGAUUUCAAUGGGUUUACAUUUUGGACGGAGGGUCAAGAUUAGAAUUCAUCAUAUCUACAGAAUAGUGGUGUUUCUAUUUUGGCGUCAUCUUAAAUUGUUAUACUACUGGCGGGUACAUGAAAUAUGGGAACUGGACUACUCUAGUUUCACUAUUGGUAUUUUUAAAUGCAAGUAAGUAGAUAGCACUGUAUGAAGCGUAAAAAAUGAUCACCCUUGUGGAUUCACUAUUGUAGACUUAACUCUUUUGCAUGAUAGUGGGGAGCCAUUUAUACUAGUCACACAAGCUAAGCAAGUAUUCUACAUUAUAGACUCAUCUGCUAAAAAAUGCUUUAUUAUAGUACCGGGAAAAAGAAGUAUCCUUAGUAUAGGUGAUGUUGAUGAUGAAGAAGAAUAUGAUGCUUUUGAAGACUUCACACCCUUUAUUAAUCCAAAAUCCAUGGAUGAAGAUAAUGUAGACGUUGGUUAUAUGCGUGUAGAUCACACAAAAUGAAUACAUUUGAAUUAGAUGAUUCACAAGGUCCUCAUCUAUAAUGCACCUUUUCAGAGAUAAAAUUAUUCUCAAGGUGGAGACUUCUAAUAAUGAGCAUCAUAGUGAUAAGGAUAAGGACUAUGAUCCUGGGAUGGAGAAGGACAUAAGUGAUGAUCAUGACUCCAAAAAGAGGGGUAACAUAAGUGAUGAUGACCCUCUCGUUAGACAUGAGAAAUUCAUUGAAUAAGCCCCACCAUAUCCCUCGGAGGUGGAAAUAGUAUCAAUGGAUGUUCUCACUAACACUACUAAAAACAUCCAGAUGUUGUCUAAAAGAGAAAAUGCCAAGGGCUUACGAAAAGCCUCAAAGUCACAGAACCCAUCACUUGGAAUACAAUGCAUAGGGUCAAACUUGUGGCAAAUGACGUAGCCAAUAUGGAAAACAAAUUGGCAUAUAUAUUUGUAAGAUUUCCAUAUUGUAAGCAUGGAAUGAGGUUCCAGAGGGUUUGAAGAACUCUCUAUGGUAUGAUACUGUGAAAUUUUUCUACAUUGAAUCCAAUGAGGAGAAAAAAAUGUUUUUCUUUUAGUUGUUAUUGAAAGAUUUAGGGAUUUCAAAUCCAAGCUUGUAACUGGCUGGAUCACUUAGAAACAUAAAGGUCAAAAUGGGAAACGAAGGUGCAAACUCAUCAAAUGUUUCCCAAGCACCUGCAGAGAUGUCCUAUGAAACAUGCGAUCGUAUAUCUAAGAAUGAAUGGGAAGCAUUUGUUGCAAAAAAAACUACUCCCACCGAAGUUGAAAAGCGAGGUAAAGCUUUUGAAUCAGCAAACAAAAGGAAGUUUUACCAUCUCUUAUACCCGAAAUUGAGCCCCACGGCCUCAUCUACGACUACCUUUCCAUCUGUGAAGACUCCUACAAGAGAUCGGGUGCAAGAUUGGUACUGUGGACUUUAUUCCUGAGAUUCAAGUGGCAAAUUUGCCAUUACUGAUCCGAGAACAAAGAAGGUUGCUGAUACUGUGAUAGCUGGAAGGAAAAAUAGUAAACGGGGGAGUUUACCCAUAAAAGCAAUGUUGAUGCAUUGCAAAUGUCUUAGGGAAAGAUUAUAAAGGGCGGGUAGUUGGAAAAGGAGGGGUUCACGUGGGUUAAAGAAGGCCUUUGUCAAAGAGUGUGUUGCUACUCAAUCAAGCACGAUGGCACCUGAAGAAGUAGUGACCCUCAAAAGGGAAAUUACGAAGGAUGUACUCGAAAAAGUUGCAGCCCUUUUGCAGAAAAUGGGAACACCCCAUGUGGACUAGGGAUGUUCAUAAUCGGGUACCCGGAAAGCUAGGUACCCGAUUAGUCGGGUACCUAUUUUAACGGCCCAUCUCCCGGCCCGAUUUUUCCGGGUACCCGAAUUCAUUAAUGUCAUUUUUUGUAGAAUUUAUUAGCAUUUUUUAGGUAGAAUUUUUUAGACAACAAAAAAAUGAUAACAUGAGAAUCGAAAAAACAACGAAAACAUUUAAAAAAUAAUAAAUAAAGAACAAUCUAGAAACAAACAAGAUGAACAUCUAAAAAUAAGAAAGAAAACGAUUCACGUACUCCUUACAACCCUAAUUUAGAAACAGUGAGAACAUGAAGAAGCAAGGGUUAAGGAGAAUAAAACAAAGUGAGUCCACUAUGAAGAAGUGAAGAAAUGAGAGACUGCCUGCAAUGGAACCCGAUUAAGACUGGUCGGGUACCCGACCAGUAUUUUAAAACUUUUUAAAUAAAAUCACACGCCAUUUAAGAUGUGGGUCAACGAGUCGGGUCAAUCGGGCAGCGGUUUUUUGAACCCCCCUAAUGUGGACUUGACAAAUAUCAUUAUCGCGGAUCAACAAAGUCAACAUGGGGAUCCUAAGGUUCGGGUUGAGCCAACACCCGAUCCCAUUACCCUCGUUGCUCAAAAUCUAACACCGAAGCCCAUUACCCCCGUAGCUCAAAAUCCAACACCUAAGCUCAUUAACCCCGUUGCUCAAAAUCCUGAGUUAACACCCAAGCCUGUGGUAAAGGAGGCGACUCCUUGUGCUCUUUUGCUGCCUCAGUUAGGUGUGGCUAGUGGUGGCGACUUAACUGAGGUUGCAUAUAGUGUUGCACUACCAACCAGAGAAGGCCAAACAAUGCAUUCUAUGCCUGUUACAGGUAGCCAGAUAAGUGUGACUGUAGAAACUAUUAUGAAGAGGUUUGAAGAUUUCUCACACCCAGUUCCAAUGCUAGAAUGGAGCCUUGAGAAACUUUCAGACACCUAAGGUAAUUUUGUCACAUGGUCAUAUGUUUGGGUCUGAUUCACUACUAAGGUAAUAAUUAUUUGUAUUUUAUUUAUUUUUAUUAUUUUAAUUGCAUGCUUAAACUAAUUAAAUUGUAUAAAUUUAAAUAGCAAAAGAGUCCAAAGGGCUCUAAAUAAGGGAUCAUUUACUCAUCAAAGAGGUCAGCUGAUUCAAAAAUCUCAAAGUCGAUGGAAACCAAUACAAUUUUGACAGAUGAGGAGCAAAAAGAUCUCUCUCUAAAUUUCAAAUGGCUGCACACAUGUGCAUCUCGCAUGUCUGAGGUGAAUCCAGUCAUGCUACCCCUACAGAAGGACUAAUUCAGCUUUGCUGAAAACCCCUUUGUAAUUAUCGGUCCGAGUGAUAUUGGGGAAGUCAUGUCUACAUGAAGUGAUGUUUAUUAUCUUACAUUUUGGGCUUUAUUGUUUAAUUUUUUAAAUAACCAAACGACUAACAAAAUUUCUUAAUCGUGAGUUUAGUGCGGCUUUUGAUGAGCUGAAUUGUUUCGAACCUCCAGUAGAAUUUUGAUGGUUUUGACCAGAAUCGAUUGCGGGUGUUAGAUGCAUACGACGUCAAAAUAUAUAUUGAGCGUGCUUUGAAAAAUUCACUUGCAGCUAAACACAUGUUCAUUAUGGCUCCAUAUGUUGAAGAUAUGCAUUGGAUGCUCGUGGUCAUAUGUUCUAUGACUAAUACCAUGCACGUCUUCGAUUCUUUUAAAGCUCAAAGCCCGCCUCGCAACAAAAGAUUAAAGCCUUGUUGAAUGCGUAAUUUUAUAAAUUUUACCAAUUGCAUUGAAGUGUAAUAUUAUAAAUGUUCUAUGACUAAUACCAUGCACGUGGUCAUAUUAUUACUAGCAUUUUGAUAUAUAAUACCUAUAAUUUGCCCAUGCAUUGUAGCACAAUGAACAAAGUGUGUGGAGAAAUAGGAUCCAGUUCGAGAGCCACCUUUCCGAAAUGGAAAACAGUAAAGGUCAACAACACUAAUUAGUAUAAAUUAUUGUUUUGAAAUGGUUAGAAUUGAAAAAAAUAGUCAUAUGUUUGAAAUUACGUGCUAAGUUGCUUUUUAAAGGUUUGAUAAGCUUUUUUUGGCACUUACUCGCUUAAAGUAGUUUAAAUUUGGUUUGUUUGGCAUAAAACUUGGCACACAACACAAAUUAGUAUAUAUUAUUGUUUUCAAAUGAUUAGAAUUGAAAAAAUAGUCAUAUGCUUGAAAUUAUGUGCUAAGUUGCGUUUUUUUAGCCUUUUAAAGCUUUUUUGGCACUAACAACCUUAAAGUAAUUCAAACUUGGUUUGUUUGGCAUGAAACUUGGCACACAACACUAAUUAAUAUAUAUUAUUAUUUUGAAAUGGUUAGAAUUGAAAACAAUAAUCAUAUGCUUGAAAUUACGUGCUAAGUUGCGUUUUUAUGUUUUCUUUAAGCUUUUUUGGCACUUACUCGCUUAAAGUAAUUCAAUCUUGGUUUGUUUGGCAUAAAACUUGGCACACAAUACUAAUUAGUAUAUAUUAUUAUUUUGAAAUGGUUAGAAUUUAAAAAAUAGUCAUAUGCUUGAAAUUACGUGCUAAGUUGUGUUUUAAAGGUUUUUUAAGAUUUUAUGACACUAACAUCUAAUAGCUCUUAGUGCUUUCAACAAGAUAAUGGUCUUGAUUUCGGUUACUACACUCUUAAAUUUAUGGAAGAUAUCUUACAAGCCGUCAAGAAUGUUGGAGUAGAAAAUAUUGAUGUGGUAUGUAUUUUAUGUUCUUAAAU